UACGUAGGGGGCAAGCGUUGUCCGGAAUCAUUGGGCGUAAAGAGCGUGUAGGCGGCUCGAUAAGUCUGCUGUGAAAGUCCAGGGCUCAACCCUGGAAGGCCGGUGGAAACUGUCGGGCUAGAGUCCGGAAGAGGCGAGUGGAAUUCCCGGUGUAGCGGUGAAAUGCGCAGAUAUCGGGAGGAACACCAAUGGCGAAGGCAGCUCGCUGGGACGGUACUGACGCUGUGGUGCGAAAGCGUGGGGAGCAAACAGG
rnacentral:rRNA from 1 species